CUUGUGAUGUGUCGGAGAUUAUCAGUUUUUAAGUUUAAUUUACCGCAUAAGAAUAUUUCACAUUAGGUACAUCUCACAUAGAGGAACUGGGUUACUUAUUUUAUCCUCAUUUGAUGAAAGAUUUGGGCUUGUCACCAGCUGCACCUGAUUUGGAGGAUUACACAAUAAUAAAUUCCUUAACGCAGAUGUGGACAGAUUUUGCUAAAACAGGAAAUCCAACACCUGCUAAUAAAGAUUUGACUUCAGCUAAUUAUAAAUGGACACCAUUAAAAAAUAAAAAUGCAUAUGAUUAUUUAAACAUUAAUAUUAAAUCUCAAAUGGAGA